UACUAUAUGAUACUAUAUUCUUUCUAUUAGUAUGUAAAUCAAUAAGAAGCUUUUCGACAGAUCCACUUACAUUUAAUAAUUUAUGCCACUACAAAUCGCCCGAGAGUGAUAAUAUUAAAAAGGAUCUAUUUUCACUUACAUUUCGAGAUGAUGAAUGAUUGCUAUACUCCUCUGAUACACAUGAAUCCAUGAGAAAUUGUGAUUCGUAAGAUUUUUCACGCAAUACAGCUGAACAAACUUUCAUAUUUGGUUAGCCCGUGACUUUCCGCAGUCGUAUUCCUCCAGUCAUCAAACAAUAUGGUUUCUCUGAAGUUUAUGGUACAAUUUUUGGCCAUAUUCUAUUUCCUGGAUGCCGUUUGCGCAAUCAGGUGUGAUGUGGAGCCCGAGGAUCCGGACUGCAUUGACUGCAGCCAGAAUCCCACGCAUGUGCAAUGCUUGGUUGGGAUCAGUACCACAGUUAGUCCAACUAAUGUGAUAACGAGUUCUUGCUUAAAUCCCAGAGUUUGCAACACAUUUGAAUUAGCCAAAGCUUUUAUUUAUUUCAAAAAAGGGAUAUUAGACUGAAGUCAUAAAUUGCUUUGCUUUAAUGCUAA